rnacentral:rRNA from 1 species
GACGAACGCUGGCGGCGUGCUUAACACAUGCAAGUCGAGCGAUAACCAUGGCUUCGGCCAUGGGGAGAGCGGCGAACGGGUGAGUAACACGUGAGCGAUCUGCCCUCGACACCGGGAUAGCCCGGGGAAACCCGGAUUAAUACCGGAUGGCCUCUCGAGCCCACGGGCUCGUUAGAAAAGAUGGCUUCGGCUUUCGGUCGAGGAGGAGCUUGCGGCGGAUUAGCUUGUUGGUGGGGUAACGGCUCACCAAGGCGACGAUCCGUAGCUGGUCUGAGAGGACGAUCAGCCACACUGGGACUGAGACACGGCCCAGACUCCUACGGGAGGCAGCAGUGGGGAAUCUUGCGCAAUGGGCGAAAGCCUGACGCAGCGACGCCGUGUGAGGGAAGAAGGCCUUCGGGUUGUAAACCUCUUUCAGGAGGGACGAAGCCACUCGGGUUAAUACCCCAGAGGGUGACGGUACCUCCAGAAGAAGCCCCGGCUAACUACGUGCCAGCCGCCGCAGUAAAAC